GCGUAACGCGUGGAAUCUGCCCUUGGGUUCGGAAUAACAUCGGGAGACUGAUGCUAAUACCGGAUGAUGUCGAUAAGACCAAAGAUUUAUCGCCCAGGGAUGAGCCCGCGUAGGAUUAGCUAGUUGGUGGGGUAAAGGCUUACCAAGGCGACGAUCCUUAGCUGGUCUGAGAGGAUGAUCAGCCACACUGGGACUGAGACACGGCCCAGACUCCUACGGGAGGCAGCAGUAGGGAAUAUUGGACAAUGGGCGCAAGCUGAUCCAGCAAUGCCGCGUGAGUGAUGAAGGCCUUAGGGUUGUAA
rnacentral:rRNA from 1 species